AAUGAAUGCUGGCGGCAUGCCUAACACAUGCAAGUCGAACGAAGGCUUCGGCCUUAGUGGCGCACGGGCGCGUAACGCGUGGGAAUCUGCCCUCAGGUUCGGAAUAACAGCGAGAAAUUGCUGCUAAUACCGGAUGAUAUCGCGAGAUCAAAGAUUUAUCGCCUGAGGAUGAGCCCGCGUAGGAUUAGCUAGUUGGUGUGGUAAAGGCGCACCAAGGCGACGAUCCUUAGCUGGUCCGAGAGGAUGAUCAGCCACACUGGGACUGAGACACGGCCCAGACUCCUACGGGAGGCAGCAGUGGGGAAUAUUGGACAAUGGGCGAAAGCCUGAUCCAGCAAUGCCGCGUGAGUGAUGAAGGCCUUAGGGUUGUAAAGCUCUUUUACCCGGGAUGAUAAUGACAGUACCGGGAGAAUAAGCUCCGGCUAACUCCGUGCCAGCAGCCGCCGUAA
rnacentral:rRNA from 1 species